GGGGCUGACAAAGCUUAGACGGGAUAUUAACAGUUGUAAGGCGCGUCGAUUAAAUACCGUAAGUAUUGAAUAAGUGCUAAAAACACUAAAACUGCGCAUGUUAUGUACAUGCCAGCUUAUGCCUAAUUAUUUCUAGGCUGGUUUUGGUCUAAGUUUUCGUAGGAUCAAAAUUAUCAUACAACGAAAAUAAGGUCGUUUGAGCGGCGAAUAAUGACACGAAAAAAUAGCCACGGCGUUUGUUAGUUUUGUUACUUGCAGCUAACAAUAUUUGCUAAGUUGAAACAAGCAACUAUGCGCGUAGAAUUAUGACCAUGUGAUGUUUCGGACCCGGAGGCAGUAUCCGGCAGCUCCACCA
rnacentral:tmRNA from 1 species